CUUGUCCUGGUGUUUAGCUUAAGCCUAUAAGACUAACAAAUUAGGCUCUUCUGCUGGUUUAAAUGCAGCUUUGUGUGUGUGUGUGUGUGUGUGUGUGUGUGUGUGUGUGUGUGUGAUACAAUGAGUUGUUUUGUCUCACUGGGGUAGAGAACAAAGACUCAAUGCCUCAGGUUAUCUCUGCAUCUUAAACAUGUCAACCAGCGGGCUUCAGGUGUGUGUUUGUGUGAAAUGGAAAGAGAGCACUAAGUGGAGGAAGUGGUUGUUUAAAUUUGAGAAUGAAUGUUGUUGAAAUUAUGCAUUGUGCGAGCGUGUGACCUGACAUGCAGAAUCUAAUGAGCAUUACUUCUUGUUGCAGCUUUUGAACUGCAAAAAGGUUGUGCUUUUAUUUAGGGAUGUUUUCAAGAAACCAGCUUUUUCUUCUUUCUUUCUUUUUUUGUUUUUGUUUUUGUAAAGAAGGGCGUGAGUAAAUUCGUGGCUCUCAUACUCACUGCUGAUUGAUGCCACACAAUGAACAUUCGUCUUUCACACACGUCGAGCUUUAAACAUGUGCUGAUUCACGCAAAUGAGGGGGUUCGUGUUUCCUGGGGAAAAUCCUCCACAGCACUGGAAGCAAGGUUUUCUCUGUUUGUCUAAACAACAAUGGCAGCUUGCUCCUAAUAAUUACAGUAAGAUAAAGGAACUGCGAAAGACCGUGGUGUACCUUGAUCAGUUUUUAUUACAAUACGUUGACCAGGUGUAAACAGGAGGUCUUAAACACCAGCCGAGUGACCAAAGGAAUCGUCAAAAGAAAACAGCUGUUAUGGGGAUUACAAACCUUGGAGGUUAAGUGUGCCUUAUGAACACUUUUAUUUUAUAAAAGAAACUGUUUUUAGUGUGAAUAACACUAUGACAUAUUACAUCUCUCACAUACCAUCUGAAUGCACUUAUUAUUUGUGUAUAAUGUUUCAUGUAUAAAAUGUUUCAUUAUAUUUAUAUAAUGAAACAUUUCUUGCAGUGCUGCAGUC
ensembl:lncRNA